UACGUAGGAAGCAAGCGUUAUCCGGAUUUACUGGGCGUAAAGAGGGCGUAGGUUGCCUUUCAAGUCGGAUGUGAAAUCUCCUGGCUUAACUGGGAGGGGUCAUUCGAUACUGUUGGGCUGGAGGACAGCAAGGGGAGGUGGAAUUCCCGGUGUAGUGGUGAAAUGCGUAGAUAUCGGGAGGAACACCAGUGGCGAAAGCGGCCUCCCGGGCUGUUUCUGACACUGAGGCCCGAAAGUGUGGGGAG
rnacentral:rRNA from 1 species